UUUAUACGGCGAGAUCCUUUAAACUCGCCUUCCGAAACGCAGUACGUCUUGAAAUCGCCAACCGCGUAUACCUCAAAAAACUCAUCGGGUACCAGAGGCAACACAAGCAAAACGUCCUUCCCGAGUCCCGAUCGCUCCCUCUGCGUCUGCUCACUUCUCCAUGACCACUGAUGCAGCCUUUUCGCUUAAGCGGAUUCCCGGAGUCCAGGAGCCAUCCAACGCUAGUAGUGAAGCUGCAGACAGUAAUGGUGGUCAACCUAGUGCUUUAUACGGCGAGAUCCUUUAAACUCGCCUUCCGAAACGCAGCACGUCUUGAAAUCGCCAACCAUGUAUACCUCAAAUUACUCAUCGGGUACCAGAGGCAACACAAGCAAAACGUCCUUCCCGAGUCCCGAUCGCUCCCUCUGCGUCUGCUCACUUCUCCAUGACCACUGAUGCAGCCUUUUCGCUUAAAUUCCCGGAGUCCUGGAGCCAUCCAACGCUAGUAGUGAAGCUGCAGACAGUAAUGGUGGUCAACCUAGUGCUUUAUACGGCGAGAUCCUUUAAACUCGCCUUCCGAAACGCAGUACGUCUUGAAAUCGC